UACGGAGGGGGCUAGCGUUGUUCGGAAUUACUGGGCGUAAAGCGCACGUAGGCGGACUGUUAAGUCGGGGGUGAAAUCCCGGGGCUCAACCCCGGAAUGGCCUUAGAUACUGGCGGUCUUGAGGUCUGGAGGGGUGAGUGGAAUUCCGAGUGUAGAGGUGAAAAUCGUAGAUAUUCGGAUGAACACCAGUGGAGAAGGCGGCUCACUGGCCAGAUACAGACGCUGAGGUGCGAAAGCGUGGGGAGCAAACAGG
rnacentral:rRNA from 1 species